UUGUUGUUGCUGUUGUUAUUGCUGUUAUCGUUGUUGGAUAGGACAGAGAGGAGGAGAGAAAGACACCUGCAGACCUGCUUCAGUGCUUAUGAAGCGACCCCCCUGCAGGGUCUCUCGGGGACAGCAGCCCUGCCAGCCUCUCCUCCCUGGUGACCCCGAAGGCCGGCUGGCACUGCUGGCUCCUCAUCUUCCUGUGCCCUCCACACCCCUGGUGUGCCGUGGGAGCCCUCUCAAAGACCCACUUACUUCAUGAGCUGGAAGGACGUGCUUCCUCAGAGAGGUCCAAGCCACUCUGGCACACGUGGUGCCUGGACUAGAAUGUGCAAGUCUGGAGCCCUGACGCUGUGCCACUGCCUGGGCCUCCGCCCUCCUGCCUGCCCAGCAUGCCACAAUAAGAGAGAAAUGUCUGGAUUAUAGGAACUCGGGAAUGAGACCAGGGCCACACUGUCGGCUCUCCACAGACCUCCCACCUCUCGACUUCACUGCACUCAGUUCCCGUCUGUACAGUACAGCAGCUAUUCACUUCUGAUCAGAAAACGUCUCAGUAAAGAUCUCCGUCUCUUGUGAGCA